CCUAAUGGGCUUCUCAAAUUCAGGAGAAUCCCUCCCUGAGAAAAGGCAUUUUCCCUCCCGCUUAAGGAACACACUCGCGCGUGAAAACCGCGCGCGUGCUCAUUUAAACAGACAGCAUUUUGAUUCGAGUCUGAACGAUCACCUCGUCUGUCUGAAUUUGAAUCCCUAAUCUAACCAAACGUCUUCGAUUUAUCACUCAACCAAACCCCGAUGUCGAGCCCGCGCGGUGCUUCCAAAGACGGCAAUGGAGUCGGUAGAGAAGCCGCCGUCGCCAAAACGGCGGGGUUUGUGGUCUUCUCGGGCAUUGCAAUCAGCAUCCUCAAAACGUUAAACCCACUCUACAAAAAUAAAAAUGAUACCAGUCAGCCACUCGCCGAGUCCACUCAGCCCAGCCCACCUCUUCCCCAACCGCAACCGCAACUGCCCGUCGCCAAGAAACCUAGUAGUUGUGCGGAUCAAAGUUAACCCGAGUCAAGAUCAUGCAGAACAAUUGACAUAGUGAAGGGAGAUACGCUUUGGGGUCUCUCUAGAAAAUAUGCGGUGUCCAUUGAUGCUAUCAAAGAGGCUAAUGGACUUUCAGGGGACACCAUCUAUGCUGGCAAGAAACUCGUGAUUCCAUGAAGGAUGUAAAUGGAAAGGUUUGUUUGGGAGGGCGGUUGGUUGAUUUAGGGUAUGGAAGGUAAACUCGUGAAUAAUAGAUCAAUCUUCGGAUUUUCUCUUGGUGAUAUUCAGUGCACCAAACUGCCGAUUUUAUUGAAUUGCAUGGUUUGCCGCUAUGGUUUUUGUUGUUUUGAACUAAACAGUAUGUAUUCGUGAUACAUUGGUACCUAUGUUUUUGUCAGCCCCUGGUUUCUAUCUUUUGCUGUAAAAUAUUGAUGCCUUUUAAGAAAUUCUUGAUACUUAUGCUCCUUUGAAAGCAAAAAAAGCAUGAUCUUCUUGAAGAAUGCUAUGGUUGUAUUUAAUUUAAUUUGUUCUUCUUCCAUCUUUUUUAUAGCUGAAGGUAAACCGGAAUAUAGAACCAGAAUUGCCCAAAAUACUCAUUGAAUCUCUACUUUACCUUUGUUAUGAAAUUAAAAUUCUACUAUUGUUGUCUGGAUAGAACAAGUGAAAGAGAAUCUGAUCUUAAAUUUAGAAUUUGAUUAAGUUGGGCGUCUCCA